rnacentral:rRNA from 1 species
GUUGCCUGCAAAACGAAUCUAAGUUCCCCCUUAACCCCCUUUCCCCCCCGACAAACCCAACCCAAAUGUAAUAGUUAAGGGCUAUUUAAAGGGGGUACAGCCCCUUUAAAAAAGGACACAACCUCCACCAGCGGAUAACCCCCGUACAUCCAACCCGGUGGGCCUUAAAGCAGCCACCCCCAAAGAUUGCGUCAAAGCUCCAUCAACUAAAAACCCCCAAAACCAAUGCGACUCCCUACAUCCACAGCAGGCCAACCUAUAACAAUAGAUGAAUUAAUGCUAGAACGAGUAACCAGGACACCACGUCCCCCCAAGCGCUAGCCUACACACCAUUAACAGCAAAACCUCAAUAAUAACUACCCCCACCGUUGAACACACCCUGUCAACCCAACUCAGGAGCGCACACUGGAGUGAUCAAAGUCUACAAAAGGAACUCGGCAAACCUAAGGCCCGACUGUUUACCAAAAACAUAGCCUUCAGCCAAACAAGUAUUGAAGGUGAUGCCUGCCCGGUGACAUCAUGUUUAACGGCCGCGGUAUCCUA